rnacentral:rRNA from 1 species
AGAGUUUGAUCCUGGCUCAGAUUGAACGCUGGCGGCAGGCCUAACACAUGCAAGUCGAGCGGAUGAGUGGAGCUUGCUCCAUGAUUCAGCGGCGGACGGGUGAGUAAUGCCUAGGAAUCUGCCUAUUAGUGGGGGACAACGUUUCGAAAGGAACGCUAAUACCGCAUACGUCCUACGGGAGAAAGCAGGGGACCUUCGGGCCUUGCGCUAAUAGAUGAGCCUAGGUCGGAUUAGCUAGUUGGUGAGGUAAUGGCUCACCAAGGCGACGAUCCGUAACUGGUCUGAGAGGAUGAUCAGCCACACUGGGACUGAGACACGGUCCAGACUCCUACGGGAGGCAGCAGUGGGGAGUAUUGGACAAUGGGCGAAAGCCUGAUCCAGCCAUGCCGCGUGUGUGAAGAAGGUCUUCGGAUUGUAAAGCACUUUAAGUUGGGAGGAAGGGCAUUAACCUAAUACGUUAGUGUUUUGACGUUACCGACAGAAUAAGCACCGGCUAACUUCGUGCCAGCAGCCGCGGUAAUACGAAGGGUGCAAGCGUUAAUCGGAAUUACUGGGCGUAAAGCGCGCGUAGGUGGUUUGUUAAGUUGGAUGUGAAGGCCCCGGGCUCAACCUGGGAACUGCAUCCAAAACUGGCAAGCUAGAGUAUGGCAGAGGGUGGUGGAAUUUCCUGUGUAGCGGUGAAAUGCGUAGAUAUAGGAAGGAACACCAGUGGCGAAAGCGACCACCUGGGCUAAUACUGACACUGAGGUGCGAAAGCGUGGGGAGCAAACAGGAUUAGAUACCCUGGUAGUCCACGCCGUAAACGAUGUCGACUAGCCGUUGGGAUCCUUGAGAUCUUAGUGGCGCAGCUAACGCAUUAAGUCGACCGCCUGGGGAGUACGGCCGCAAGGUUAAAACUCAAAUGAAUUGACGGGGGG